UUAUUCAGGCCAAGAAAUCGACGGAAGAUCUGAAAGAAAUCACUCACAAAGUCUACUUUGCCAUUGAGAUAGAUGGAAAACCAGCUGUCGUGUUGUCAUGGGUCUCUUUGGAAAGGUGGUCCCUAAGACUGCAGAAAAUUUCCGAGCUUUGUGCACAAGUAAACAUAUAGCUUU